rnacentral:rRNA from 14 species
GCGAGCGAAGUGGAAAUAGCCCAAACCGUUUUUGUUUCGGCAAAAUCGGGGUUGUAGGACUACAAUAUCCGUAAUAAAGUAUAGUGGAACAAGUUGGAAAGCUUGGCAAUAUGAGUGAUAGCCUCGUACACGAAAUGCUUUAGAAGGUAGUAGUAUCCUGAGUAGGGCGGGACAUGUGAAAUCCUGUCUGAAUCUGCCAGAACCAUCUGGUAAGGCUAAAUACUCUUGAGAGACCGAUAGCGAACUAGUACCGUGAGGGAAAGGUGAAAAGAACCCCGGGAGGGGAGUGAAAUAGAACAUGAAACCUUAAGCUUACAAGCAGUAGGAGGACGACUUAUCGUUUGACUGCGUGCCUGUUGAAGAAUGAGCCGGCGACUUAUAGUUAGUGGCAGGUUAAGGUAGAGAAUACUGGAGCCACAGUGAAAGCGAGCUUUAAUAGAGCGUGUGUCACUAGUUAUAGACCCGAACCCGGAUGAUCUAACCAUGGCCAGGAUGAAGCCUAGGUAAUACUAUGUGGAGGUCCGAACCGACUGAUGUUGAAAAAUCAGCGGAUGAGUUGUGGUUAGGGGUGAAAUACCAAUCGAAUUCGGAGCUAGCUGGUUCUCCCCGAAAUGUGUUUAGGCGCAGCGGUUAAUAUUAUAGCUUAGAGGUAAAGCACUGUUUCGGUGCGGGCUGGUAAUUCGGUACCAAAUCGAGGCAAACUCUGAAUACUAAGUGAACAGUUAACCAGUAAGACUGUGGGGGAUAAGCUUCAUAGUCAAGAGGGAAACAGCCCAGAUCACCAGUUAAGGCCCCUAAAUAAUUAUUAAGUGGUAAAGGAGGUGGGAAGACUCAGACAGCCAGGAGGUUUGCUUAGAAGCAGCAAUCCUUUAAAGAGUGCGUAAUAGCUCACUGGUCUAGUAAUCCUGCGCCGAAAAUGAACGGGACUUAAAUAAUUUGCCGAAGCUGUGAGAUAUUUAUUACAAGUAAAUAUCGGUAGGGGAGCGUUCUGUUGUAGGUUGAAGCAUUAACGUAAGUGGGUGUGGACGAAGCAGAAGUGAGAAUGUCGGCUUGAGUAGCGAAAACAUUGGUGAGAAUCCAAUGCCCCGAAAACCUAAGGUUUCCCCCGGAAGGCUCGUCCGCGGGGGGUGAGUCAGGACCUAAGGCGAGGUCGAAAGACGUAGUCGAUGGACAAUAGGUUAAUAUUCCUAUACCGUUUUUUAUUGGCAACGAGGGACGAAGAAGGCUAAACUUAUCCAGAUAGUGGUCACUGGUCCAAGCAUUCAAGGUUAUGAGAAAUAGUGAAAAUAUUUUGAGCUGAGAUGUGAUGGGGAGAUACUUAGUAUUGAAGUAGUUGAUGUCAUGCUUCCAAGAAAAGCUUGCACUGUCAUAAAUAGAAAACGCCUGUACCCUAAACCGACACAGGUAGGUAGGUAGAGUAUACUAAGGGGCGCGAGAUAACUCUCUCUAAGGAACUCGGCAAAAUAACCCCGUAACUUUGGGAGAAGGGGUACCCUAUGGGUUGCAAUAACAAGGUCCAAGCGACUGUUUAUCAAAAACACAGGUCUCCGCGAAGUCGAAAGACAAUGUAUGGGGGCUGACGCCUGCCCAGUGCCGGAAGGUUAAAGAAGCUGGUUAGCAGUAGCGAAGCUAGUGACUGAAGCCCCGGUGAACGGCGGCCGUAACUAUAACGGUCCUAAGGUAGCGA